rnacentral:rRNA from 1 species
GACUGCAGGCUGCAACUCGCCUGCACGAAGUCGGAAUUGCUAGUAAUCGUAGGUCAGCAUACUACGGUGAAUACGUUCCCGGGCCUUGUACACACCGCCCGUCAAACCAUGAGAGUUGGCAACACCCGAAGUCGGUAGUCUAACCGCAAGGAGGACGCCGCCGAAGGUGGGGUUGAUGAUUAGGGUUAAGUCGUAACAAGGUAUC